GUCUGGGUGGCUCAGUUGGUAGAGCAUGAGACUCUUGAUCUCAAGGUCUUGAAUUCAAGCCCCAUAUU
rnacentral:tRNA from 1 species